AGCAGCCGCGGUAAUUCCAGCUCCAAUAGCGUAUAUUAAAGUUGUUGCAGUUAAAAAGCUCGUAGUUGAAUUUCGGGGUUCUACCGUUGGUCGGGCUAUUGUCUGUACUGGCGUGUAGAAUUUCUACCUUCUGGGGAACUAUCAUGUUAUUAAUUUAGCGUGGUAGGAAACCAGAACCUUUACCUUGAAAAAAUUAGAGUGUUCAAAGCAGGCUUAUGUCUGAAUACAUUAGCAUGGAAUAUAAAAUAGGACGGUGGUCCUGUUUUGUUGGUUUCUGAAUCACCGUAAUGAUUAAUAGGGAUAGUUGGGGGCAUUAGUAUUCAAUUGUCAGAGGUGAAAUUCUUGGAUUUAUUGAAGACUAACUACUGCGGAAGCAUUUGCCAAGGAUGUUUUCAUUAAUCAAGUAACGAAAGUUAGGGGAUCGAAGACGAUCAGAUACCGUCGUAGUCUUAACCNUAAACUAUAGCCGACUAGGGAUCGGACGAUGUUAACUUUUCUUGACUCGUUCGGCGCCUUUACG
rnacentral:rRNA from 1 species